GGGCGAAAGCCUGAUCCAGCGACGCCGCGUGGACGAUGAAGGCCUUCGGGUCGUAAACUCCUUUUGAUAAGCCCUUCACGGCUUAUAGAAUAAGCCUCUACUAACUACGUGGCCCAUUAAAUUGGGUUUGGCGCGUAGUAUAAAUUUCACUAUAUGCUGGAAACUUUUGUUAAUGUUAGAUUACUCUAAAAGUAAAAAUAUCUAGCAAAACCCAAAAAAACCUUGAGACUGGUAUAAGGGUUACAAAACAAUCAGCAGGAAACCUCAAUCUUGAGGGCUCCUCAGAGACUAUACGUGGAACCCGCCGAUGAGGCGAGGAAGAUAUAGUCCAUGUUCGGUAAGUUAAGUUUUUUAUUUAACGGGCCGGGCCAGCCCCGGUUAGAACUUUGGCGAAAAAGCUAAAGUUACAUCGGGUGCUGAACAAACCUUAUAGAAUUUGUGAGUUUUAGUAACACAGUUCUAACGGGGCCAGAAGUCUCGGUAAUACGUAGGAGGCGAGCGUUAUCCGGAAUCACUGGGCGUAAAGUGUGCGUAGGCUCAUUGAAAAGUCGUACCUUAAAGACUAAGGCUUAACCUUGGAAGUGGGUACGAUACUUUUAAUGUUGAGGAUUGUCAGGGAUGCUGGAACAGUUAAUGUAGCAGUGAAAUGCGUUGAUAUUAACUGGAACACCAAAGGCGAAGGCAAGCAUCUGGGAUUUUCCUGACGCUGAGGCACGAAAGCUAGGGGAGCGAAACAGAUUAGAUACCUGUGUAGUCCUAGCCGUAAACGAUGUCUGCUAGCUCUUUCCGACUUGUCGGAUGGGGUGUAAGCUAACGCGUUAAGCAGACCGCCUGGGGAGUACGGCCGCAAGGCUAAAACUCAAAGGAAUUGACGGGGACCCGCACAACCGGUGGAGCGUGUGGUUCAAUUCGAGACAAAACGAAAAACCUCACCAGGGUUUGACAUGCAAUCGUACAUUCUUUUGGAAACAAGAGGAAAUCCGUAAGGAUGAUUGCACAGGUGCUGCAUGGCUGUCGUCAGCUCGUGCCGUGAGGUGUUCCCUUAAGUGGGGAAACGAGCGCAACCCGCGUCCAAUGUUGAAUAUUCAUUGGAGACGGUCCCUAAUUUUUAGGGAAGGAAGGAGCGGAAGACGUCAAGUCAGCACGGCCCUUAUACCCUGGGCUACACACACACUACAAUGGCGAAAAACAACGGGCUGCAAGAUGGCAACAUCAAGCUAAUCCCUUAAAUUUCGCCUCAGUUCAGAUUGGGGUCUGCAACCUGACCCCAUGAAGUCGGAAUCGGUAGUAAUCGCAGAUCAGCAUGCUGCGGUGAAUACGUUCUCGGGUCUUGUACACACCGCCCGUCAAGGCAGCAAAGUCGGUAAUUAUCGAACAUCGUCUUUUGGCGUUGGAGAUAAAGAUCGGCGAUGAGGCUUAAGUCGUAUAAAUGUUGCGA
rnacentral:rRNA from 1 species